rnacentral:rRNA from 1 species
GACGAACGCUGGCGGCGUGCUUAACACAUGCAAGUCGAACGAUGAAGCCGGAGCUUGCUCUGGUGAAUUAGUGGCGAACGGGUGAGUAACACGUGAGUAACCUGCCCUUGACUCUGGGAUAACUGCUAGAAAUGGUAGCUAAUACCGGAUACGACCCUCGGAGGCAUCUUCAGGGGGUGGAAAGAAUUUCGGUCAAGGAUGGACUCGCGGCCUAUCAGCUAGUUGGUGAGGUAAUGGCUCACCAAGGCGACGACGGGUAGCCGGCCUGAGAGGGUGACCGGCAACACUGGGACUGAGACACGGCCCAGACUCCUACGGGAGGCAGCAGUGGGGAAUAUUGCACAAUGGGCGCAAGCCUGACGCAGCAACGCCGCGUGAGGGAUGACGGCCUUCGGGUUGUAAACCUCUUUUAGUAGGGAAGAAGCGAAAGUGACGGUACCUGCAGAAAAAGCACCGGCUAACUACGUGCCAGCAGCCGCAGUAA